rnacentral:rRNA from 1 species
AGGACGAACGCUGGCGGCGUGCCUAACACAUGCAAGUCGAGCGAAUGAAGUUCCUUCGGGAAUGGAUUUAGCGGCGGACGGGUGAGUAACACGUGGGCAACCUGCCUCAUAGAGGGGAAUAGCCUUCCGAAAGGGAGAUUAAUACCGCAUAAGAUUGUAGUACCGCAUGAUACAGCAAUUAAAGGAGCAAUCCGCUAUGAGAUGGGCCCGCGGCGCAUUAGCUAGUUGGUGAGGUAACGGCUCACCAAGGCGACGAUGCGUAGCCGACCUGAGAGGGUGAUCGGCCACAUUGGGACUGAGACACGGCCCAGACUCCUACGGGAGGCAGCAGUGGGGAAUAUUGCACAAUGGGGGAAACCCUGAUGCAGCAACGCCGCGUGAGUGAUGACGGCCUUCGGGUUGUAAAGCUCUGUCUUCAGGGACGAUAAUGACGGUACCUGAGGAGGAAGCCACGGCUAACUACGUG